ensembl:misc_RNA Y_RNA Y RNA
GGUUGGUCGGAAGGUAGUGAGUUAUCGCAAUCGAUUUUUCAGUCUGUUACAGAUCGAACUCCUUGUUCUGUUUCCUCCCCCGUCUUACUGCUGCACUUGACUUGUCAAAA